rnacentral:rRNA from 1 species
GGAUCAACAUGUCGGUCGUGCCUCCGGUACGUACUGGUAUCGUUGAUUCCUACCUUCUGACGAACCAUGAUGUCAUUAAUUUGGUGUCAUGGGGAAGUCAGGACUGUUACUUUGGAAAAUUAGAGUGUUUAAAGCAGGCACACGCUUGAAUACAUUAGCAUGGAAUAAUGAAAUAGGACGUUUGACCCUAUUUUGUUGGUUUCUAGGAUCGACGUAAUGAUUAAUAGGGAUAGUUGGGC